rnacentral:rRNA from 1 species
GUCCUUGCCGUAAACUAUGUAUACUUGGUGUAACCGGACUCAACCCUGGUUGUGCCGAAGCUAACGCGUUAAGUAUACCGCCUGGGGAGUACAGUCGCAAGGCUGAAAACUCAAAAAGAAUUGACGGGGACCCGCACAAGCAGUGGAGCAUGUGGUUUAAUUCGAUGCAACGCGAAGAACCUUACCCAGGUUUGACAUGCAGAGGACGUUAUCAGAGAUGAUAAUUCCCGAAAGGGCUUCUGCACAGGUGCUGCAUGGCUGUCGU